CUCACAGAGAGCCGUCUUCUCCAUGCAGCUUCUCGCAUAGCGUCUGCUGAGCUCGUUAUGCAAAAUACUUCUCAGUGCAACACUGGUAGAAAUGUUACAUCUUAACAUUUCAAGCUGGCUGUGAACUGCAUGCGUCAGUCUGUACUGAGGAGCAUCAGGUACAAGAAGUACCAGGAAGGAAAAAGUGACGGGGACAGAGGCGAGGGAUGAGCGAGGAUGUUUAACCAGUUUUUCACUGGCCCUUAACUAAUCUCCGCGUGGGAAUUCUCAAAGGUCAGAGCAGCUUGAAAAGGUUUUGGAGACAAGUGGACACAAGUCAUUCCUCACUGAUGUGCCAGGAUGUGUGACUGGACGGUGUCAGUGAGUGGUGCUACCUUAUGUGUCUCCUGACACAUCGUUUUCAUCAGGUUGCUGGCGCUACCCUAACAUGACCUGCCGAACAUCUCAGCUGAGCUUUUGUACUGUCAUGUUGCAACUGUCAGUAAAAUAAACAUCCAUCCGUUUCAAGGGUUCAUCUCUCCAGCUUCCCAUGUUCCUUCUGCUUGA